rnacentral:rRNA from 1 species
GAUGAACGCUGGCGGCGUGCCUAAUACAUGCAAGUCGAGCGAACAGACGAGGAGCUUGCUCCUCUGACGUUAGCGGCGGACGGGUGAGUAACACGUGGAUAACCUACCUAUAAGACUGGGAUAACUUCGGGAAACCGGAGCUAAUACCGGAUAAUAUAUUGAACCGCAUGGUUCAAUAGUGAAAGACGGUUUUGCUGUCACUUAUAGAUGGAUCCGCGCCGCAUUAGCUAGUUGGUAAGGUAACGGCUUACCAAGGCAACGAUGCGUAGCCGACCUGAGAGGGUGAUCGGCCACACUGGAACUGAGACACGGUCAAGACUCCUACGGGAGGCAGCAGUAGGGAAUCGUCCGCAAAGGGCGAAAGCCUGACGGAGCAACGCCGCGUGAGUGAUGAAGGUCUUCGGAUCGUAAAACUCUGUUAUUAGGGAAGAACAAAUGUGUAAGUAACUAUGCACGUCUUGACGGUACCUAAUCAGAAAGCCACGGCUAACUACGUG